UUCUUUCUUAAAACACAGCAAACCCUUUAAUUCAAAUGAACCAAAAUUUUGAUUUUUGCUAGGGUUUCAUUUUGCAGCCGCCAAACCAUCAUCUAACUUGAUGAUCGAUGGUGCACUAGCAGUGUCCAGAUCUUGCCAACGAAGGCCACGCCCAUGGAGAUCUGGUAAGCUAUUCUUUCUUUUUUUUUAAAAAAAAAAACCUUUAAAUCCAACAUUAUUCUUAAAAAACGUAGCAAAAUUCGAAGGGAAAUGCUUCAACACCAUUCGACCCUCGCCCGUAUCUCCAUACUUCUGAGAUAUUUGGGCUUGCAUAGGUAUCGUUUCAGGUAUUUUUCCAUUUUUCUCAUGCGAAAGAUUGCAAACAAAUCGAAAAAAAAGGAAAGAAUCCAAAAAGGAAUAUGAAAACACCUCUUAAAAAUUGCUUUCGAAAUGCUCUUUUUUGAUAUCUUGUGUGCGUAACCUUACAAAGAUGAAAUCCCUUGGCUUUAUAGCCAAAGGGAUAAAAAUGAUAGAAAUAAUCAAAAAAAUACAAUAUCUUUGUUUUUGUUUUUGUUUUGCUGUUCGUUCGUCCCUUUUUGCAAGUACGGGGUGUGCGUGGCGCGUGUAUGGGGGCUGUGUGCUGGCGUACGGAGGCGUGGGCGUGGCUGCUGAAGCGCUAGAGCGUACGGAGCUGCGGGUUGGGGCCUGGCUGCGGCGCAAGAAGCAGAAACCCUAGGAUUUUUUGUUUCUAACAUGUUUUGGGCUGUUCGGGCCUUGAAUUUCUUGGGCUAUGUAAUUGGAUUUUGACGGACUGUUAAUAUUUGGAUUAAUUUUUUUUUUGGUCUUGUUUAGUUAUUAUUUUUAUUGUGAAUAGGGCCACGACACAAUUGGCCUACUACAAUUAUUUUAUAUGUAUAUUAUCUUAAAUAAUAUUAUCCUAAGAAUAAAAUUGAAUCCAAUAGAAGUUAAUUUGAUUCAUUAAAAUAGAACAAAAUAUAAAAUUAUAAAAUAUUUUUAAUAUUAAAUAAUCGAUUUUAAAUUUAUUAAAUACUUUUAAAAAUA
rnacentral:lncRNA from 1 species